UGCCAGUGAGGAACAAACAUCCUGUCUUCACGCCUGUUCUGGCCCUAGAACCAGUAAUGGUGAACCCACUGGGAUAACUAGGAGAGAGGAUGGCAAGUUCCAUAAGGAACUGAGGUCU
rnacentral:snoRNA from 1 species